CGCGGGGUAGAGCAGUCCGGUAGCUCGGGUGGCUCAUAACCNNAUUGGUUCAAAUCCAAUCCCCGCAACCA
rnacentral:tRNA from 1 species